rnacentral:rRNA from 1 species
GACGAACGCUGGCGGCGUGCUUAACACAUGCAAGUCGAACGGAAAGGCCCUGCUUGCCGGGUACUCGAGUGGCGAACGGGUGAGUAACACGUGGGUGAUCUGCCCUGCACUUCGGGAUAAGCCUGGGAAACUGGGUCUAAUACCGGAUAGGAGCCAUUUUUAGUGUGAUGGUUGGAAAGUUUUUUCGGUGUAGGAUGAGCUCGCGGCCUAUUAGCUUGUUGGUGGGGUAAUGGCCUACCAAGGCGGCGACGGGUAGCCGGCCUGAGAGGGUGGACGGCCACAUUGGGACUGAGAUACGGCCCAGACUCCUACGGGAGGCAGAAGUGGGGAAUAUUGCACAAUGGGCGCAAGCCUGAUGCAGCGACGCCGCGUGGGGGAUGACGGCCUUCGGGUUGUAAACUCCUUUCGCUAGGGACGAAGCUUUUUGUGACGGUACCUAGAGAAGAAGCACCGGCUAACUACGUG